rnacentral:rRNA from 1 species
UACGUAGGAUCCAAGCGUUGUCCGGAAUUACUGGGUGUAAAGGGUGCGCAGGCGGGCUUGUGCGUCAGAGGUUAAAUACUCCGGCUCAACCGGGGAAAUGCCUUUGAUACGGCAAGUCUUGAGUACGAGAGAGGAUGGUAGAAUUCCUGGUGUAGCGGUGAAAUGCGUAGAUAUCAGGAGGAAUACCCGUGGCGAAGGCGGCCAUCUGGCUCGUAACUGACGCUCAGGCACGAAAGCGUGGGGAUCAAACAGGAUUAGAAACCCUCGUAGUCC